rnacentral:lncRNA from 1 species
UCCCUUGCUUUUUCUUUCCAUUAAUUAAUCAAUCGUUUCUUUUGCACUAGGCAUAGAAAUAACAUCCAGUAAAGAAAGAUGCUGCUGCCCAAUAGAAUUUGGAACCUAAGUAUGGGAUUAGAGAGUAUUGGAUUAGAUGCGGGAACAGUAUAAUAGGUAGGAACUCGAUAAGAUGCCGAAGCGGGAGUGGGAACAAGAGAAGUGAUUCGUUAUAAGUAAGGAGCUGUAGUAAAGUAAGGCUUAGCUCUGGUCGGUUAAGAAAGAAAGGUAGUUAGCCCUUGGUGGCUUGGCUACCAAUAUGGAUAAGUAAGAUCUACUACUAGGUGGGUCAGGCUCGUAAGCUAUGAAGUAAGGCAAUAGUGGGCUCGUAAGCUAUGAAGUAAGGCAAUAACUUAUUAUACAGAAUUAGCACCUAGGUCCUCUGUGUUAGAAUAUGAAGUAAGGUAAGCCUAACAAUAGAGAUAAAGAAUACAAGUAUGGAGUUUCAGAAUAAGAUAAAGGAG